rnacentral:rRNA from 1 species
UACGUAGGGCCCAAGCAUUAUCCGGAAUUACUGGGCGUAAAGAGUAUGUAGGUGUUCCUCUAAGUCGGUCGUUAAAUCUCAUCGCUCAACGAUGAGGCCGCGAGCGAUACUAGAGGAAUUGAGUGUCACAGGGGCAAGCAGAAUUCUUGGAGUAGGGGUGAAAUCCGUUGAUACCAAGAGGAAUACCAAUGGCGAAGGCAGCUUGCUAGGUGAACACUGACACUGAGAUACGAAAGCGUGGGGAGCAAAC